GCGCUAGCUUUGGCAGUACAUUUACUAAAAUUUGAACAAUACAGAGAAGAUUAGUAUGGCCCCGGGCAAGGAUGACAUGCAUAUUCAUGAAGCAUUCCAUAUUUUU